AGGGCGAAAAGGAGCCUGCGAAAUGAGAGAGAAGGGUGAUCACAGGAAGGAAAAGGGCGGAAAAACUCAACAGGCUCUGGAAGCUUUCCGCCAGAGAGGAUCUUGGAGAUUAGAAAGAAAGACAAAAAGAAAGUGUUGGUGAUUGACUUCAUUUGAAGCAGAGGAAUUAAAACGGGCUUCCAGAUUUUAGGUGGAUGUUAAUGCUGUUAACUGAUUUGACAUGUUGAAUUUGAGAUGUUAGACAUCGAAGUGAAUGGGUACUCUGAAAGAGCAUCAAGAAAAUCUGACUGAAAAAAGAUUGACUGAGAUGGGCGCUGGAGUAUAAGCCAGAGUUUCACAGGUACUUAUCAUCCCUGCACAAGCCUUUGCAUCUUGAAAAUCCACCAGUUUUAUAGCACUCUGAAAAAAUUCCUUGUUGCCAUGGAGAUACUGUUCUUUCACAGUGAAUCCUUCUUGAAGUGAGGAAUCUGAGGCCCAGAGAGAUUAAGAAGCUUCACAAGUGACAUGACUUGUGCCAAAUCACAAGGUCAUUUAGUUGCAGAACUGGGACAGGAAUUCAUGCCCAGUUCUCUUUUCAAAACCCUGUGGAAAAAAGCAGCACAUUGAAUUUAGCCUUUGAUUCGUCAUCAGCAUUAUCAGAGGACUCCUACAUCAGAUUACCAAUGCACUUUGUCAUAAAUAUUUCGGAAUGCCUAUGAGAAAAAGAAUAAAGCUAAAUCAAGUCCAGAAUACAGAGACAAAUUACUGCUGCAUUUACAGAGUUCUCAACAUUCAUCAAAUUAUACAAUAGUCAGAGGAGUUUCCUGUGGAUAUAAGGUCCAUUUGAAUCCUUAAGAAAAAGAGUGGAUAUUGAAGAAAUAUGUUCUUUAUUCUGAGCAAAAAAGCCAGCAAAAAAGAUAAUGGAUUUGCCAAAAUAUAUCACGACAAU
rnacentral:lncRNA from 1 species